rnacentral:rRNA from 1 species
CUCCAGACUCCUACGGGAGGCAGCAGUGGGGAAUAUUGCACAAUGGGGGAAACCCUGAUGCAGCAACGCCGCGUGAGUGAAGAAGUAUUUCGGUAUGUAAAGCUCUAUCAGCAGGGAAGAAAAUGACGGUACCUGAGUAAGAAGCCCCGGCUAACUACGUGCCAGCAGCCGCGGUAAUACGUAGGGGGCAAGCGUUAUCCGGAUUUACUGGGUGUAAAGGGAGCGUAGACGGCGAUACAAGUCUGAAGUGAAAGCCCGGGGCUCAACCCCGGGACUGCUUUGGAAACUGUGUUGCUGGAGUGCUGGAGAGGCAAGCGGAAUUCCUAGUGUAGCGGUGAAAUGCGUAGAUAUUAGGAAGAACACCAGUGGCGAAGGCGGCGUGCUGGACAGUAACUGACGUUGAGGCUCGAAAGCGUGGGGAGCAAACAGGAUUAGAUACCCCAGUAGAC